CCCCUAGAUGUUCUGGGCCGCACGCGCGCUACACUGAACAGUUCAACAAGUCUUAACCUUGGCCGAUAGGUCUGGGUAAUCUUUGAACGCUGUUCGUGAUUGGGAUAGACCUUUGCAAUUAUGGGUCUUCAACGAGGAAUUCCUAGUAAACGCAAGUCAUCAGCUUACAUUGACUACGUCCCUGCCCUUUGUACACACCGCCCGUCGCACCUACCGAUUGAAUGGUCCGGUGAAAUCUCGGGACGGCGGCUUGGUCGCUUGCGUCCGACUGCUGAAACUUGAUUAAACCAUAUCAUUUAGAGGAAGGUGAAGUCGUAACA
rnacentral:rRNA from 1 species